rnacentral:rRNA from 1 species
GAUGAACGCUGGCGGCGUGCCUAAUACAUGCCAGUCGAGCGAACGGACGAGAAGCUUUCUUGUCGGAGGUUAGCGGCGGACGGGGGAGGAACACGUGGAGAACCUACCUAUAAGACUUGGAGAACUUCGGGAAGCCGGAGCGAAUACCGGGUGAUAUUUUGAGCCGCAUGGUUCAAAAGUGAAAGACGGUCUUGCUGUCACUUGUAGAUGGAUCCGCGCUGCAUUAGCUAGUUGGUAAGGUAAUGGCUUACCAAGGCAACGAUGCAUAGCCGACCUGAGAGGGUGAUCGACGACCAUAGAAGUACGACAAGGCCCAGACGCCUACGGGAGGCAGCAGUAGUGAAUAUUCCGGAACGGUCGAAAGCAUGCCGGAGCAACGCCGCGGGAGUGAUGAAGGUCUUCGUCUCGUAAAACUCUUUUAUUAGGGAAGAACAUAUGUGUAAGUAACUGUGCACGUCUUGACGGUACCUAAACAGAAAGCCACGGCUAACUACGUG